GGAGGGAUGGCCGAGUGGUUUAAGGCAGCGGUCUUGAAAACCGCCGUGCGGGAAACUGCACCGGGGGUUCGAAUCCCUCUCCCUCCGCCA
rnacentral:tRNA from 1 species